UUGAUUGGUGCUUGCAUCAUGAUUUACAUUUGAGUGAGUGGCGAACUGGUGAGUAACACGUGGGAAACCUGCCCAGAAGCGGGGGAUAACACCUGGAAACAGAUGCUAAUACCGCAUAACAACUUGGACCGCAUGGUCCGAGUUUGAAAGAUGGCUUCGGCUAUCACUUUUGGAUGGUCCCGCGGCGUAUUAGCUAGAUGGUGGGGUAACGGCUCACCAUGGCAAUGAUACGUAGCCGACCUGAGAGGGUAAUCGGCCACAUUGGGACUGAGACACGGCCCAAACUCCUACGGGAGGCAGCAGUAGGGAAUCUUCCACAAUGGACGAAAGUCUGAUGGAGCAACGCCGCGUGAGUGAAGAAGGGUUUCGGCUCGUAAAACUCUGUUGUUAAAGAAGAACAUAUCUGAGAGUAACUGUUCAGGUAUUGACGGUAUUUAACCAGAAAGCCACGGCUAACUACGUGCCAGCAGCCGCGGUAAUACGUAGGUGGCAAGCGUUGUCCGGAUUUAUUGGGCGUAAAGCGAGCGCAGGCGGUUUUUUAAGUCUGAUGUGAAAGCCUUCGGCUCAACCGAAGAAGUGCAUCGGAAACUGGGAAACUUGAGUGCAGAAGAGGACAGUGGAACUCCAUGUGUAGCGGUGAAAUGCGUAGAUAUAUGGAAGAACACCAGUGGCGAAGGCGGCUGUCUGGUCUGUAACUGACGCUGAGGCUCGAAAGUAUGGGUAGCAAACAGGAUUAGAUACCCUGGUAGUCCAUACCGUAAACGAUGAAUGCUAAGUGUUGGAGGGUUUCCGCCCUUCAGUGCUGCAGCUAACGCAUUAAGCAUUCCGCCUGGGGAGUACGGCCGCAAGGCUGAAACUCAAAGGAAUUGACGGGGGCCCGCACAAGCGGUGGAGCAUGUGGUUUAAUUCGAAGCUACGCGAAGAACCUUACCAGGUCUUGACAUACUAUGCAAAUCUAAGAGAUUAGACGUUCCCUUCGGGGACAUGGAUACAGGUGGUGCAUGGUUGUCGUCAGCUCGUGUCGUGAGAUGUUGGGUUAAGUCCCGCAACGAGCGCAACCCUUAUUAUCAGUUGCCAGCAUUAAGUUGGGCACUCUGGUGAGACUGCCGGUGACAAACCGGAGGAAGGUGGGGAUGACGUCAAAUCAUCAUGCCCCUUAUGACCUGGGCUACACACGUGCUACAAUGGAUGGUACAACGAGUUGCGAACUCGCGAGAGUAAGCUAAUCUCUUAAAGCCAUUUUCAGUUCGGAUUGUAGGCUGCAACUCGCCUACAUGAAGUCGGAAUCGCUAGUAAUCGCGGAUCAGCAUGCCGCGGUGAAUACGUUCCCGGGCCUUGUACACCCCGCCCGUCACACCAUGAGAGUUUGUA
rnacentral:rRNA from 1 species